GAACGGGUGCGUAACACGUGGGUAACCUUCCCUUAUGUGGGGGAUAACCCGCCGAAAGGCGGGCUAAUACCGCAUAAUAUUCCGAUGGCUUCGGCUGACGGAAUCAAAGCCUGCAAAGGCGCAAGAGGAGGGGCCCGCGGCCGAUUAGCUAGUUGGCGAGGUAAUGGCUCACCAAGGCAAUGAUCGGUAGCCGGUCUGAGAGGAUGGCCGGCCACACUGGAACUGAGACACGGUCCAGACUCCUACGGGAGGCAGCAGUGGGGAAUCUUGCGCAAUGGGCGAAAGCCUGACGCAGCAACGCCGCGUGGGGGAUGAAGCUUUUCGGAGUGUAAACCCCUUUCGACCCGGAAGAAUGCCCGCAAGGGUUUGACGGUACGGGUAUAAGAAGCCCCGGCUAACUACGUGCCAGCAGCCGCGGUAAAACGUAGGGGGCCAGCGUUGCUCGGAAUUACUGGGCGUAAAGGGUCCGUAGGCGGUGUGGCAAGUCGGAAGUGAAAUCUCUGGGCUUAACCCAGAGGCUGCUCCCGAAACUGCUAUGCUAGAGUGUGAGAGAGGCGAGUGGAAUUGCAGGUGUAGCGGUGAAAUGCGUAGAUUCUGCAGGAACCAUCCGAG
rnacentral:rRNA from 1 species